rnacentral:misc_RNA from 1 species
AGUACUUCAAAUGAUUAUGUUAUCGACAAAAUUAAGUAUAAGCCACAAGACUGUUAUAUUUAAUAGCUUACACCAGCCCAAUCAGGAAUUGCCGUUCAAAUGAUAAAGUUGAUGAAUUCCCUAGGUAAAUGAAUAUGAGAUCUUGGUAGCUUAAAAAGUGUCGCCGAAGUAAACCAGAUAAAAAAAGAAAACCACAUAGCAAUAAACUUGAAAAUCAACAUGCUUACUAUCCUAUUAAGAGGAAAAUUGGCUCAAAGCCAAGCUCAAAAAUACCUCAUCAUAAAAGAAAUUAGGA